GUUGUCCCCGCGAUGGGCAGAGCUACACUGCCUCAAUAACAAUGACGUCAACUAGACACGCCGAUUGAAGGCGGGGAUGGGGUCGUGCGUGGGGUCAGCUGAAAUGUUUCAGUCGGUGUUGCCCAGGCGACCAGGAGGCAUAAAGAAGUUCAACCUGUUCAGACUGGGACAAUGACAACAUCCUGACUAAAAGCUGACAGGGAAACCAUCAAUGUGAUUCACCCGACCAAAUCUGUAGAAGCACACUCAUAUGCAGUAGUGUGGAGCACUGCCCCCCUUCACCCCCUCCACUGGUCCCACAGUAUCUCAGAUGAUAGAGAGAGCAGGAAUGCAGGAGUGAAGAGAGACAAUAAUCCUGCAACCUCGGUGGAUGUUGCCUAACGCCUGCCAGUGCUUUGAUCUUCACAUCGCUGCCAAGGGGGCCAAGCAAUUUCCUGAGCUCUUCUCAGAGGAAGCUUCCUGUAAAUGCAUGCAAGCCUACCUACCCACCUGAACACAAAUAUUAUAUUUGAUAUGGUACAGGCUGCAGAGAAACAGAUUCUCCUCAUGAAAAGCCUCCAUCACCCAAGAGGAAAGGGUGCAUUUCAGAGAAACUCUAUGUGUUUGCAGUUUCACCUUCAUAGCCACACCCUUGAGAGAGUCAUUGGAUCUGUUUCCAGGACAACUUCCAUCAGACUUUCCUCUGGUUGUUGCCUAAGUAUGUGAGCUAUGUGAGUCAGCCAUGUCAGGCUGCUGAGCAGUAAUGUUGAUAAGAUAUAUAAUACUCCCACGCCUGUCUCCCUGUCCUUCUGGUGAUUGCCAAGGAAUAACAGGGAUGUUAUUCACUCUUUAGUGACUGAAAUGAACUGGUAUCCUGAAAUGCAAAAUUCUUCCAAAACAAAGUGAUAUGAUAUUAGUUUACGUGUGAUGUCUGACAUCUCUAAUUUGAAGAAACUACAGUAAACUACUAGGCAAAUGCUACAGAGUGUUUCGAGGAGCCUAUCUAUCAGAAGCACGAGCAUGAACAAAAACCUAGAGCCCUGUGAUAGCUGGUAGACUGGUGGAUGGGAUAGGUGAUGACAUUCAGGAGAUGUUUCUUUGAGAUGCCUCUAUUCAUAUCCUGCUGCCAAACAGGCAAUGGAGGGCGGUUCUCAGUCUCAUCGUUGUGAUUCCUGUUGCUGUAUUCAGCAGCUGCCACUCACACACUGUUGUGGUUUCUACCUGUUCACUGCCACCUUUCUGGUUAUUCACAUUUUCACAUCCUCCUCAAAGAUAAUAUUUAUAAAUUAGAUUAUUAACUUACUUAAUUGGCAAAGUUGUCUCCACCCUUUCUCUGAUAAGAUUUUAAAGGGAACAGUAUAUGAAACUUACCGGAGCAUAUUAUUACCACCACCACUACCUGAGCAAAAGUGAGUUUAGAAUACUUGUAACAAUAGUGCUGAAGACUCGUCAGGGUUAAAGGAUUUCAGAGAGACACCAAUGUUAGUGUGGCACUGCAAGCAGCAAGUGAUUCAUGAGAUAAAACUUUUUUUCAUUGAAUGAAAGUGUAUAUUAGUACUGUAAAUAGACAGAGCCAAGCCAUCCCCCAGUAAAAAGACGCAAGGUGGAUGAUGCAGGUGGAUCCUGUACAGGGUUCAGAGUUCUGAAGGAAGUAAUGUGGAAUGCUCUGGAACAGAGGUGUCAAACUCAUUCCACGGAGGGCUGAGUGUCUGCGGGUUUUUGUUUUUCCUUUCAAUUAACACCUGGCGUUCCUUACUAAUUAGUGACCUUAGUUCAUCAAUCAAGUCCAAGGCAGAAGUGAAAACUCAUAGAAACUUGGCCUUCUGUGGAAUGAGUUUGACACGUGCUCUAGAAGGGGGGGGGUAAUGUUGUCAGACCAGCCUGUCCGCUCUGGGCCCUGCAUUCCCUUAGCUCUGACUCAGAGCAGCCUGGCUACCUACCUAGCAUUCCUCUGGGCUUCACUCAAACGAUUCCUGUAUGGUAUAUGUGUCACGCCCUGACCUUAGAGAGCCUUUUUAUUUCUCUAUUUGGCUAGGUCAGGGUGUGAUUUGGGUGGGCAUUCUAUGUUUUCUGUUUCUUUGUUUUUGGCCGAGUGUGGUUCCCAAUCAGAGGCAGCUGUCUAUCCUUGUCUCUGAUUGAGGAUCAUACUUAGGCAGCCCUUUUUCCCACAUUUAGGUUGGGGGAUCUUGUUUUUGUUUGUUGAAAUCUGAAGCGUUAUGUUCGUUGUGUUGAUUUUUUUUAAAUUGGGUGGUGGAACAUUUAAUGAAGAAAAUGUACGCCUACCACCCUGCACCUUGGUCCGGUCAUUCUACCACUAACGAUGGAUAUAACAAUAUCACUGUAUUGAGUGCAAGGCAAGUUGCUGUUGAGGUCCCACAUGUCUUUUACUGGAGGAUUCAGAUGUUUCUGAGUCAAGCAUCAAAAUAAAGAGACUUAACUCUGUGA